rnacentral:sRNA from 1 species
AGAAAAUUUCACACAUGCAUCGUCACGGCUGACGGGGUGCCCAAGCGGUUGUCAGUCGGGAUGCAUGGAGGAUUAAC